rnacentral:rRNA from 1 species
CCUACGGGAGGCAGCAGUGGGGAAUUUUCCGCAAUGGGCGCAAGCCUGACGGAGCAAGACCGCGUGAGGGAAGAAGGUCUGUGGAUUGUAAACCUCUUUUGAUAGGGAAGAAGACAGUGACGGUACCUAUCGAAUCAGCCUCGGCUAACUCCGUGCCAGCAGCCGCGGUAAUACGGAGGAGGCAAGCGUUAUCCGGAAUUAUUGGGCGUAAAGAGUCCGUAGGUGGGUAACCAAGUCAGCUGUUAAAUAGUGAAGCUUAACUUCAUAGAGGCGGCUGAAACUGGUUGUCUAGAGAGUGGUAGGGGUAGAGGGAAUUUCCAGUGUAGCGGUGAAAUGCGUAGAUAUUGGAAAGAACACCGGUGGCGAAAGCGCUCUACUGGGCCACUACUGACACUGAGGGACGAAAGCUAGGGGAGCGAAAGGGAUUAGAUACCCCUGUAGUCCUAGCCGUAAACGAUGGAUACUAGGCGUUGCCCGUAUCGACCCGGGCAGUGUCGUAGCCAACGCGUUAAGUAUCCCGCCUGGGGAGUACGCUCGCAAGAGUGAACUCAAAGGAAUUGACGG